GAUGAACGCUGGCGGCGUGCCUAAUACAUGCAAGUCGAGCGAACAGAUAAGGAGCUUGCUCCUUUGACGUUAGCGGCGGACGGGUGAGUAACACGUGGGUAACCUACCUAUAAGACUGGAAUAACUCCGGGAAACCGGGGCUAAUGCCGGAUAACAUUUAGAACCGCAUGGUUCUAAAGUGAAAUAUGGUUUUGCUAUCUCUUAUAGAUGGACCCGCGCCGUAUUAGCUAGUUGGUAAGGUAACGGCUUACCAAGGCAAGGAUACGUAGCCGACCUGCGAGGGUGAUCGGCGACACUGGAACUGAGACACGGUCCAGACUCCUACGGGAGGCAGCAGUAGGGAAUCUUCCGCAAUGGGCGAAAGCCUGACGGAGCAACGCCGCGUGAGUGAUGAAGGUCUUCGGAUCGUAAAACUCUGUUAUUAGGGAAGAACAAAUGUGUAAGUAACUGUGCACGUCUUGACGGUACCUAAUCAGAAAGCCACGGCUAACUACGUG
rnacentral:rRNA from 1 species